UACGUAGGGGGCAAGCGUUGUCCGGAAUUAUUGGGCGUAAAGAGCGUGUAGGCGGCCAGAAAAGUCCGCUGUGAAAACUCGAGGCUCAACUUCGAGCUGUCGGUGGAAACUUUCUGGCUAGAGUCCGGAAGAGGAGAAUGGAAUUCCUGGUGUAGCGGUGAAAUGCGCAGAUAUCAGGAAGAACACCCGCGGCGAAGGCGGUUCUCUGGGACGGUACUGACGCUGAGACGCGAAAGCGUGGGGAGCGAACAGG
rnacentral:rRNA from 1 species